CACAGUGUUUUAAAAACCGGACCGGUCAUCGAACCGGCGAGGGUACUGGGUCACUGGUUCAUUGGUCGAACCACUGGGUCACUGGUCGAACCGCAUGACAAACCGGAUUAAACCGGAUUAAACCGAUGGAAUGAACCGGUCUCUAUGAUAAGACUAUAUAGUUAUUAAACCGGUUGAAUCAGAUAUCUCGGUCUUUAAAAAAGUAUAAAAAUAUGAAAAUUUGAAAAUUUCAUAAAAAGAAUGCCAUAAAUU
rnacentral:lncRNA from 1 species